UGGUUGUACAUUAACACUGGUGUCCAUAGA
rnacentral:piRNA from 1 species